ensembl:lncRNA RPL23AP7 ribosomal protein L23a pseudogene 7
GAGUGCGGGACUGGGGCUCCUGGCUGUGGGUGUGGUACCGAGGCUUCAGCGGGUGCCGCCCGCCUAGAGGGAGUGGAGCGGAAUCAGGAGAGGAACCCGGUCCUCUCCACACAGCCCAGCAGGUACGCCGCCCAUGUGCCUGUGGAGAAGAGAGGUUCCUGUGGGGCAGACAGAGAGCCUACGACUAGAUUUGCAUCUUUACGUCCUGCGCGGAGGCUGCUACACACAUGCAGAAGUCAUGCUGGUGGCCUGGACAGUGAAGGGAGAGAAGUGGAUUUGGGAGACAUUUAGGAGGAACAGUAAGAGGACCUUGUGCAUGAAUAAUUUGUUUCCACACUACAGAAAGAAUCCCAGACUUCUUAGAGAACCCAGUGACUUUUUGCACCUUAAAUCUGUGAAAUCCUCAUGUUUUCUUCUGCCGUAUCCAUAGUUCAAACAAAGAUGAGGCAAAGCUAGAUGCAUUCCUGAAGGAACCCAAGAAAUUCCUCUCUUUAUUUCUCUGGAAUGAAAUGAAUUCUCUAGACCACCAGUUCUAACCUUCAAAAACCAAACCUGUUUGUGAGAUCUCCUUCAAAUACUACUGUAGACCCCAGUGUUUAUUCAUUAAAUUUUUAAAAUAUUUGUUUUAUUUGGAA